CUUUAUUGUGCUAGUCCAACACAUUCAGUCAAGGACUGCCCCAUUCUUCUGAAAAACAAGAAAAUGGGACCGUAGACGCCUAUCUUCUGAGGCCAUUCUCUACACUGGGGCACAUGGGAAUUAUAUAGACAUAGAGGUUGUUAAGGCAAAUAAAAUACCACUUGAAAAAAAAA